rnacentral:rRNA from 1 species
AUACGUAGGGGGCGAGCGUUGUCCGGAAUGAUUGGGCGUAAAGGGCGCGUAGGCGGCCCGGUAAGUCUGGAGUGAAAGUCCUGUUUUUAAGAUGGGAAUUGCUUUGGAUACUGUCGGGCUUGAGUGCAGGAGAGGUAAGUGGAAUUCCCAGUGUAGCGGUGAAAUGCGUAGAGAUUGGGAGGAACACCAGUGGCGAAGGCGACGUACUGGACUGUAACUGACGCUGAGGCGCGAAAGUGUGGGGAGCAAACAGGAUUAGAUACCCUGGUAGUCCACACUGUAAACGAUGAAUGCUAGGUGUAGGGGGUAUCGACCCCUUCUGGGCCGCAGUCAACACAAUAAGCAUUCCGCCUGGGGAGUACGGCUGCAAGGUUGAAACUCAAAGGAAUUGGCGGGG